AUACCAUCUGAGCUGUCAGUUUCAUAUGACAGCUUUGUAUGACAGGUUGAAGAUUACUUUGCAUGUUAGUCACAGCAGGAUAUUAGAACAUGUUAGUCAGGAGAACAAGAGAGUUUGCAUUUUGUGUUUUUAUAGCUGCUUUGUUUAAAGGUGGAGAAUGUGCAGAAAAAGUAACUCAACCAGCUCAUGUACAAGCUCAGGAAGGCAAAGAAGUCAUAAUUUUCUGUAACCAUUCAGAAGCAGCAACUAGGAGUGUCCAGUGGUAUAAACAGGUGGCUAAUGAAGGUCCUAAAUAUGUAAUCCAGAAAUAUGAUGGAACUGAAAGGCAAGGUCGGUUUACAUUAGAAGUUGACAGAAAAGCAAUGACUGCAAACCUUACCAUAAGGGACGUAACAAUUGCAGACACAGCCUCCGUCUACUACUGUGCAGUGGAUGACACAGUAAAACAAAACCUAGCAACUGCAGCACAAUAAAUGCUUGCACAUAAGAUAGUGCACUUUACUGUAUAUAUUGAUGAAAGCAUCUUCAUUUUAUUCAAGAUAUAAUGGAAAAGACUUCUGCAUAGUCUAUUUUUUAAGAUGUACUAUUGAACUGUUUCCAAUUGUUUCUGCUAAUAUAAUGCUUUUGAACACGUUGCUAUACAUCUCUGCUGUAUAUUUUCCUGUCUGGUUUAUAUCCAGCUCUACUAGCUGGGUAAUAGUUUCUAUGAAUGUUCUACUGGUAUUUUCUGUGAUGUGUGGCUUCUUGGGCAUAGGCCCUAGAUAUUGGAAAGUACAUGCAUCAGCAGAAUCAGGACAGUAUUAAUAUUAUUGAAAAAAAAUUUUAAAACAAACAUCAGUUUAAAAAUUAUUUUAUGCAAGAAUAAAGGUUAUGUACUGCUCAAA